GUGAGGAAUUUUCCGCAAUGGGCGAAAGCCUGACGGAGCAAUGCCGCGUGAAGGAUGAAGGCCUAUGGGUUGUAAACUUCUUUUCUUAGAGAAGAAUAUUGACGGUAUCUGAGGAAUAAGCAUCGGCUAACUCUGUGCCAGCAGCCGCGGUAAGACAGAGGAUGCAAGCGUUAUCAGGAAUGAUUGGGCGUAAAGCGUCUGUAGGUGGCUUCAAAAGUCUCCUGUCAAAGAUCAGGGCUUAACCCUGGGCCGGCAGGAGAAACUCUGAGGGUAGAGUUUGGUAGGGGCAGAGGGAAGUCCCGGAGGAGCAGUGAAAUGCGUAGAGAUCGGGAGGAACACCAAAGGCGAAAGCACUCUGCUGGGCCACAACUGACACUGAGAGACGAAAGCGAGGGGAGCAAAAGGGAUUAGAUACCCUUGUAGUCC
rnacentral:rRNA from 1 species